AUGCUGCAUUACCUGCUAGCCAUUGUGACAUCAAGACAUUCCUGAGAUUUUGCCAGCCAGGUUUCUGUUUUCUAUUUUUGAGGGGUCAUAUCUACUGGUGGUAGUAAUAUAAUUGAUGAACAUGGGAAACAGAGAUCCUGCAGCACACUUAUGAAGGCUUGAACAGAACAGAUGGCCGAUGGCAAUUUCCCUGGUCUUGGCGCAGACUUCCUGGAAGCUGCACAAAUCAAGCACUUCUGCCUUUGCUCAGGGAAAGUAGCUGAGAGCAAUCAAGAGAACUGAGUUAGGAGGGGUGGCCACGUGGUCCAGGCCCAAAGCCAAUUGUGCAUCUUGUUACCCUGGCCUCCAACAUAAGCUAUUUGGUCAGCAAGAAGCCCAGAAGGUUUUCAGGAGCUACUGUCAAAGACUCUGGCUCUUUCCCAUGGGAUUCGGGCCUGAUUUGAUGUGAGGCUGGAGCUGAGAGGCCAGUUUGUCAUCUGGAAGGAAAGACCACCAGAAGCCACCAUGUGAAAAAGAAGCCCACACAGGAAAGCAGAGGCAGGAAAUGGAGAGAAACCAGUCCUGUUCAUAUCACUGGAUCCAGCAGUGCCUGAAUUCCUCCUACCCUUGAACUUGUGAAUUAUGCGAAUCAUGAAAUCUCUGUGAAAGCAA